rnacentral:rRNA from 1 species
AACGUAGGUGGCAAGCGUUAUCCGGAUUCACUGGGCGUAAAGGGCACGCAGGCGGCCUGGCAAGUAGGGCAUGAAAUCUCCUGGCUUAACUGGGAGAGGUUGUCCUAUACUGCUGGGCUUGAAGAUGGGAGAGGGUCGUGGAAUUGCCGGUGUAGUGGUGAAAUGCGUAGAGAUCGGCAGGAACACCAGUGGCGAAGGCGGCGACCUGGCCCAUUCUUGACGCUCAUGUGCGAAAGCUAGGGGAGCGAACGGG